rnacentral:rRNA from 1 species
CUUUUUGUAGAACGAGCCAACGAGUUACGGUAUGUAGCAAGGUUAAGUACUUAAGGUACGGAGCCGAAGGGAAACCGAGUCUGAAUAGGGCGACUAGUUGCAUGCCGUAGACCCGAAACCGGGUGACCUAUCCAUGGCCAGGUUGAAGCGAGGGUAAAACCUCGUGGAGGACCGAACCACGUUGCUGUUGAAAAAGCAUGGGAUGAGCUGUGGAUAGCGGAGAAAUUCCAAUCGAACCCGGAGAUAGCUGGUUCUCUCCGAAAUAGCUUUAGGGCUAGCGUCGAGUAUGAGUAGUGGAGGUAGAGCACUGAAUGGGCUAGGGGGCAUAGCGCUUACCGAACCUUAUCAAACUCCGAAUGCCACAUACUUUGAGCUCGGCAGUCAGACUACGAAUGAUAAGAUCCGUGGUCAAAAGGGAAACAGCCCAGAUCGUCAGCUAAGGUCCCAAAGUGUAAGUUAAGUGGGAAAGGAUGUGAGAUUUCUAAGACAACUAGGAUGUUGGCUUAGAAGCAGCCAUUCAUUAAAAGAGUGCGUAAUAGCUCACUAGUCGAGAGAUCUUGCGCCGAAAAUGUAACGGGGCUAAACUUACCA